GGGCAUCGGUUCGGGUCGCGGUACCGCAGCCGGGAGGCACCACUGUCGCAUGGAGCUGCCGGAGAGCGAGAGAGAAAGGCAGGCAGAUUACAUGCUGACGGUCACUCAACCGUGCACGUCGUGGACCGAUCAAACUUCGUAAUGGUUUCCGACGAGCUAAUGAAGGUGAUCCGUGCAGGGUCACAUUGUCCCGGGAUGCUGCAGCGGAGAAAAACCGAAUCGCUAAACAGGGAGUCGGUCUCAGUUUCUGACCUCUAACCCCAACCACACUGCCCCGGAAUGAUAUAACUAGGAAGUUAUUCUUCUGGGAGGGACGAGAGGGAGCGGAAACAACAUCUGAAGUACGGCGAGGGAUGCACCCGUCUUUCUAUGACAAUACAGGGAAGAAGCACGGUGGACCUACUUCUUUAGUCUGUUAUUCAAGAUGGCGGAGGACGUCGUGUUCAUUUUCCUGUUGUUUUACAUCUACAAGGCGACCUUCUUCCCGCUGGUGGUGAAGUGCCCAGUGACCCCUGUCCCAGUGACCCCUAUCCCAGUGACCCCUAACCCAGUGAACCCUGUCCCAGUUGACCCCUGUCCCAGUGAGUUGGACUACCAGGCCAACAAAGAAGCGAGUGUUCACAGUCUUCAUGCUGGUGAUUAGCUUUGUGUGAAUCCUCCUGGGGAAGAGGUGCAGGGGAGUGUAUCGGUGGUGGAGGGCCCCGUGCUGUCAGGGAGAGGUCCCUCCCCGUUCACAAUGCCAGCUACCAUAUCCCUGAUAGGGAAAGGUGUGUGGUCUGAAAGUGGUCUGAACUGGAGAAGAUGAAGAUGGUUGGUGGGGAUGGUGGAGUGACUAAGACAGAGAGCCCUGCACUGGGGUUACAGUGUGGUUAUCUCCUAAGACUGUUAUCUUUAUUUCUGGUUUUGCAGGUUUUUGUUCAAGCCCAGGACUAAUACAUGAUCAGAUGCAUCUAAUCAAGGCGUUGAUGAUUAGUUGAUCAGUUGUGUGUUAGUACUGGUCUGGAACAAAAGAUAAUAGAAAGCCUACGGAAAGUUUGUCACUACAUACCAUUCUGUCAUAUCCGUGAGACCAUUCUGUCAUAUCUGUGAAACCAUUCUGUCAUAUCUGUGAAACCAUUCUGUCAUAUCUGUGAAACCAUUCUGUCAUAUCCGUGAUACCAUUCUGUCAUAUCUAUGAAACCAUUCUGUCAUAUCUGUGAAACCAUUCUGUCAUAUCCGUGAGACCAUUCUGGCAUAUCUGUGAAACCAUUCUGUCAUAUCUGUGAAACCAUUCUGUCAUAUCUGUGAAACCAUUCUGUCAUAUCCGUGAGACCAUUCUGUCAUAUCUAUGAAACCAUUCUGUCAUAUCUGUGAAACUAUUCUGUCAUAUCCGUGAGACCAUUCUGUCAUAUCUGUGAAACCAUUCUGUCAUAUCUGUGAAACCAUUCUGUCAUAUCUGUGAAACCAUUCUGUCAUAUCUGUGAGACCAUUCUGUAUUGUCCUUGACACCAUUCUGUCAUAUCUGUGACAUCAUUCUGUCACGUCCUUGACACCAUUCUGUCAUAUCUGUGACAUCAUUCUGUCACAUCCUUGACACCAUUCUGUCAUGUCUGUGACACCAUUCUGUAAUGUCCUUGACACCAUUCUGCCAUGUCUGUGACAUCAUUCUGCCACGUCCUUGACACCAUUCUGUCUUGUCCUUGACACCAUUCUGUCUUGUCCUUGACACCAUUCUGCCAUGUCUGUGACACCAUUUUGCCAUGUCUGUGACACCAUUCUGCCAUGUCUGUGACACCAUUCUGCCAUAUCUGUGUCAAAGGCACAUGCACUGUUUAGACUAUAAAAAAUACAUUUCAAGGAGUCUGAUACUCCAAAAUGUUGUUUGCAAAGUCACUUUUGAUAUGUUUAGUCAUUCAUUAUUAGAGAAUGACAUCUUAUCUGUUAUUUGGACUGGGGACAGGUGGACUGGGGACAGGUGGACUGGGAACAGGUGGACUGGGACAACUGUCUCUAACUCUGAAUGAUCAGCUAUGAAAAGCCAACUGACAUGUACUCCUGAGGUGCUG